CCUACGGGAGGCAGCAGUGGGGAAUAUUGGACAAUGGGGGGAACCCUGAUCCAGCGACGCCGCGUGAGUGAAGAAGUAUUUCGGUAUGUAAAGCUCUAUCAGCAGGGAAGAAAAUGACGGUACCUGACUAAGAAGCCCCGGCUAACUACGUGCCAGCAGCGGCGGUAAUACGUAGGGGGCAAGCGUUAUCCGGAUUUAGUGGGUGUAAAGGGAGCGUAGACGGUGCAGCAAGUCUGAUGUGAAAGGUCGGGGCGCAACCACGGGACUGCAUUGGAAACUGUUUAACUGGAGUACCGGAGAGGUAAGCGGAAUUCCUAGUGUAGCGGUGAAAUGCGUAGAUAUUAGGAGGAACACCAGUGGCGAAGGCAGCUUACUGGACUGUAACUGACGUUGAGGCUCGAAAGCGUGGGGAGCAAACAGGAUUAGAUACCCUUGUAGUC
rnacentral:rRNA from 1 species